GUUGGUAGCAACACAUCCUUGAAAUUCCUUGAACAGUUUGUUUCCAGGGGGAAAUGAUUUCAGUGACACCUGCUUUAACUUAACGCGGCAGGACUGAUUGAUUCUCACGCAUUUAUGUGGACAGUUGCAUUUCUCCUGAUAACAAGAAAACAGAUGGAAAGCAUGGUAUGUAAAGGCUUUAUUGUUCAGCAAAAAAAUAAAUAAAUAAAUAAAUAAAUCCCAUACUUCACACCAUCAUUUUACAUGGUUGAUGGUUUCAUGUUUGAGUGCAGUGAAUGGUAAAAAAGUUCGAGCUAUACAGAAGCGGAGAAGGCGACGAGAGAAGAAUCAUGAAAAAUAUGGAGAUAAGCACAGGUGAACUCUUGAGUAGCCUUCACCACUGUGAUAUUUCAGCUGGAUUCUGGAAUCACUCCCUUUGCAUGACUCCUUAAAUGUUCUCAGAGUGUUUCUUAAAAUUGAGUGAAAUGUAAGUAUUAGCAGCAUUGUUUUGAGGCAGCUCUUAAUUUGGUUCUAUUCCAUCCAGUGGCAAAAUACUGUCAGUUUGUGAGAAGCUAUGGAAUUUGAAAAUCACUGGCACAAAAUCUAAUUUCAAAAUGCUGAAUAUACUGAGCUGCAUAUAUGUUUCUCUUUAGGUGGGCUUUUACAUGUGCUUUCUGUAAAUUCCACACAUUUGAAGACAAAGACACUGAGAAACACUUUGGAAGCACAUAUCACAGAGAGACUCUUGACUAUAUACGACGGCAAGCCAAAUUUGAUGAAAAGGUCAUAAGUUUUUUUUGCAUGUAAGAGUUUUUUUUUUACCGUUGUUUUACGUUUUUGUUAUGGACUUGUAUUAUAUUUGUUGAUAUACAUUUAUUCCAUUCUAAUAUUACACUGGAUUGCAUGGUUCACAAGUUUCGUAAAACUGUCUCUACACAAACUAAAGUCUUCCUGUGGAUGCAGCAAAGAUGAGUGGGCAAAAAUAGUGGAAGGUAUGACGACUCAUGGCAACCUCAAGUUCUAAAUUUGCUUACUAUGAUAAAAAAAGAAAAAUCCUUUACUUGUUCAUAUAUUUGCAAUGAUGCAAUUUCAAUGUUGCUUUUUCCACUUGGCAAUUAUGUAAUAGAGAUUUUAAUGCUUUCAGCCUUUUUGUGGAACAUUGUGGAGUUUGCAGUUUAUUCUGUGGUUUCUGUAUAUGCAGGGGUGACAGAUGAGGAUUACAUUAGGAGAAUAGAGGUGGUUUACUGUGUUGCAUGUGACACUCACAUUCCUGUGGUUUUCAGCUCUGUACAGCAGCAUCUUCACUCACUCACCUCUAGAGCAAAGUGGUGAAGCCUAUCUGUCCUUUUUAAUAAGGAGGCUUGUUGGUUUGUUUAUUGUCUUGUGUUUCCUUCAAAGGCCUACAAAGAGCAGUUAAAAAGAGACCGCGUGGUUACAGCCAAAGCUAUAAUAAUGAUAAUGUGAAGAUGCACUACAAGAAAUACAUGAAGGGAGAAGACCCGUUUGCAGCUGAUGCCAAAGACUCAAGUUCUGAUUCGCAAGAUCAGAGAAGAUGAGUCAGAAAAUAGUGACUCAUAACGAUGGACAUAAGGACUAUUGAACAGUCCCAGAAAAAGAGAAAAGAGGGAAAGACUCUUUCUAGUUUGUUCUAUAUUCUUAAAUCUUUAAUCUAUCACAUGUGUGGUUCAGAUGAAUUUGCUCUAGAAAAGGACUGAGAUUUAGUUCAUAUUUCAGCCCACAAUGAUCCACAUUUAUCAGUGUUAGGCUAGUGUUCCACACAAAGUGUAAUUCCCCUUUUUUAUUGUACUCUUUGCAGUGCUGCCUGAGAAGUCUUUCUGUUUAAGUCAAAUUGUGCUGUUUCAUUAGUAUCUGUGCAAGUUUAUAAUAAUGUUUUGGCACUGUUCUGAAUGGCAUUAAAUUGAAAUAUAUAUAAAAUGCAGAUGUUUAUGGCUUACAUUUUUGUAACUCCCAAUACUAUUUGGGAUUGGAAAUUUGCCUUUUCACUAUUCUUGAAUGAGAUCUGUGCUGACAAUUAAAUGUUCACUGUACACAGGCUGGGCUUCUUGUGAAAUUAUCUUGAUUAUUUAAAAGCAGUUAUUACUCCAUUUACCCAAUGAGGUGUAAUUAGACUAAUGUAUUGCUGUUCUAAACUACAGUAGGAAAACUGGCACCAGCUGCAAAACAGCUGUAGUGCAGCAAGGGCCCCCCUCCUGGAGCAAACAAACAAUGACAGCUCUGGCUGGGAUGAAAUCACAAAGUGCUGUCAAAUUUGAGUAGAGCAAAUUAGAAGAACCAUUAAAAAACAUAAGUAGCUUUAGUUUUAAAAGUGUUUGAUCAAAUGACAAAAUUCUAUGAGCAGAAUGAUUGCAAAGUUAUUGUUUUGAAUGAUACAGUUUAUAAUAGAUAAUCAAAGAGGUGUAGAUUAGACCCCAUAAUGAGCACAUUUUGGACAAAAUAAAGGUUUUUGUCUCAGACUCUCUCACUCUAUUGACAGAUUUGAUUAGAUACUAUUUUGAAAGUGAAGCAACAAAGAAGAUCCAGUAGGGGGAGCACACCCUCAUGUUGUCAUUCUCUGUUUACAGCCACAGAAGUUUUAAAUUAUACAUGUCUGAACUUCACUAUCUCAAAGGUGUCAAGUUUAUAAACAAUUUAGUGUUUCAGUUAAAGGAAGAUUGUCUAACCAUAAUAUAUUAUAAAGAUAUUAAAGCUAAAGUGUCUUAUUUUUGUGCCACU